rnacentral:misc_RNA from 1 species
GAAUGAAGAACGCAGCGAAAUGCGAUACGUAAUGUGAAUUGCAGAAUUCAGUGAAUCAUCGAGUCUUUGAACGCACAUUGCGCCCCCUGGUAUUCCGGGGGGCAUGCCUGUCCGAGCGUCAUUGCUGCCCUCAAGCACGGCUUGUGUGUUGGGCCUCCGUCCUCCUCCCGGGGGACGGGCCCGAAAGGCAGCGGCGGCACCGCGUCCGGUCCUCGAGCGUAUGGGGCUUCGUCACCCGCUCUUGUAGGCCCGGCCGGCGCUUGCCGACACAUCAAUCUUUUUUCCAGGUUGACCUCGGAUCAGGUAGGGAUACCCGCUGAACUUAAGCAUAUCAAUAAGCGGAGGA